rnacentral:tRNA from 1 species
AGAGUGUAGCUCAGUGGUAGAGUGCGUGCUUAGCAUGCACAAGGUCCUGGGUUCAAUCCUCAGUACCUCCA